rnacentral:rRNA from 1 species
UACGGAGGGAGCUAGCGUUGUUCGGAAUUACUGGGCGUAAAGCGCGCGUAGGCGGCUUUGUAAGUUAGAGGUGAAAGCCUGGAGCUCAACUUCAGAAUUGCCUUUAAGACUGCAUCGCUAGAAUCCAGGAGAGGUGAGUGGAAUUCCGAGUGUAGAGGUGAAAUUCGUAGAUAUUCGGAAGAACACCAGUGGCGAAGGCGGCUCACUGGACUGGUAUUGACGCUGAGGUGCGAAAGCGUGGGGAGCAAACAGG